rnacentral:lncRNA from 1 species
AUUGCAGCUUUGGAUUUAUUCGCACCAAAAAAAUCCAGUCCAGUGGGCCUUUUUCUCUUACAAGUAAGACACAGACUUAGAACUUAGUAACUUGCUGGCGGUGAGGCAGCGAGUAAAUGUUUGAACAUGGUUCCUCCAACUUCAAAGGCCAAGCACUACCCUGUGCUACCUCCAGCAGAAGUUGGUUUUUACCAAGGCAAAGAAGAUAGGGUGGAUUUUCCUGAACAUAACAGAGUCGUGCCCAAUCUAUCUCCUAGUUUUCAAAACCUUUAACCGACCCUCCCUCCGCAGAGACCGGUGGGCUUCCCCGCCCUCCUACGGAUGAGAGCCACGCCCCCAGGAAAGGGGGUGGCUGGGAACCCUGCUAACCCUAGAGGGGUACCUUGGGUGCCAGGGCAACCGCCCGCCUUCAGGCCGUGCGGACAGGCAAGCGGCUCUGCCCCCACGUGCCGCGGACACAGCGGGCGUUGCGCACCGGUUUCGGCUGGAGGGCUGAGGAGGACCUGAAAGGGCUUCCAGAAGGAAAACUUCCGAGCGUGAAGCACAGAACAGUCCUUCCUCCUCCUCCGCUCCCGAAGCCCGUCUGGGAAGGCGCCGCGCCGGGGCCAGAGCCGCCUCCUGGGGGAUUCUGCCCUGGGGAGGUGGAGCUCAGCGGGGCCUCCCCGACCUUCGCUCUCGGGCGCCUUCCAGCCUCCCGCGUAGGACCUGAGGCCGCGCCCCAGGCGAGGUCCCAGACAGCCGCCUCCAGGGGGAGCCGCCUCGGCGGCGACCGAAAAGCCGUCAGCGGGGCGCGUGACCCGGGCC